GACGUAGGGCGCGAGCGUUGUCCGGAUUUAUUGGGCGUAAAGAGCUCGUAGGCGGCUUGUCGCGUCGUCCGUGAAAACUCGGGGCUCAACCCCGAGCUUGCGGGCGAUACGGGCAGACUGGAGUACUGCAGGGGAGACUGGAAUUCCUGGUGUAGCGGUGGAAUGCGCAGAUAUCAGGAGGAACACCGGUGGCGAAGGCGGGUCUCUGGGCAGUAACUGACGCUGAGGAGCGAAAGCGUGGGGAGCGAACAGG
rnacentral:rRNA from 1 species